rnacentral:rRNA from 1 species
AGCGAACGCUGGCGGCAGGCUUAACACAUGCAAGUCGAGCGGGCACUUUCGGGUGUCAGCGGCGGACGGGUGAGUAACGCGUGGGAACGUGCCCUCUGGUUCGGAAUAACUCAGGGAAACUUGAGCUAAUACCGGAUACGCCCUUUUGGGGAAAGGCUUGCUGCCGGAGGAUCGGCCCGCGUCUGAUUAGCUAGGUGGUGAGGUAACGGCUCACCAAGGCGACGAUCAGUAGCUGGGCUGAGAGGAUGAUCAGCCACACUGGGACUGAGACACGGCCCAGACUCCUACGGGAGGCAGCAGUGGGGAAUAUUGGACGAUGGGCGCAAGCCUGAUCCAGCCAUGCCGCGUGAGUGAUGAAGGCCUUAGGGUUGUAAAGCUCUUUUAUCCGGGACGAUAAUGACGGUACCGGAGGAAUAAGCCCCGGCUAACUUCGUG